GUUGUAUUUCCAUCAAAUAACUGUGCAAAAUAUAAAUCAACGUUUCUACCUGUUCGAGUCUUUAUCAACAUCUUGAUUAUUUAUAUAUUAUAUAAUCUAUGUAUAAUAAAAUGGGUGAAAUCCAGCAUGGAUUUUCAAUUUUAAAAUUCACGUAAAAUUAUGCCCAGAGUAAUAUUGAGUAACCUGAUCAAUCUUUUGAUACGAAGUUGAACAUCUUUAAUUAGCAAUGUUAUGGUGCAGGCAUCUGGCUUUUAAAGCUCGUGGCAAUGAUGGCAAAUCAUAGAAAACCAGGUAUCAAGGCAUGUACAUUGUAUUGUUAAUAAAAGGCAGUAGAUGUAUUAAGUUUCAUGUUCCCUAAAGAAGAUAAGAUUUAUAAUUCGCAACAUUGGUUUUGUCCAAAUCCUAACCUUUAACUGUGGUUAUCAUUAAUGUUUCUGAUUGUUUCUCAUUACAAUGAGGAAUAACUAUAUUACUACUUACAAAUCACGUAAACUGCUUCCGUUUUUUAUUUAUUUUUUUUGUGCUGGGAAAGCAAGAUGUAAUGCAAUGACUUAAAUCCUUUAUUGUAUGUAUAUUUGGGUGUAUGUGUAUGUAUAAUAUUUUGAUUCCGCUCGAAAAUU